rnacentral:rRNA from 1 species
UGAUGCAGCGACGCAGCGUGCGGGAUGACGGCCUUCGGGUUGUAAACCGCUUUCAGCAGGGAAAAAGCCGUAAGGUGACGGUACCUGCAAAAGAAGUACCGGCUAACUACGUGCCAGCAGCCGCGGUAAUAC